UACGUAGGGUGCAAGCGUUGUCCGGAAUUAUUGGGCGUAAAGAGCUCGUAGGCGGUUUGUCGCGUCGAAUGUGAAAACCCGGGGCUCAACCCCGGGCCUGCAUUCGAUACGGGCAGACUAGAGUUCGGUAGGGGAGUCUGGAAUUCCUGGUGUAGCGGUGAAAUGCGCAGAUAUCAGGAGGAACACCGGUGGCGAAGGCAGGUCUCUGGGCAUUAACUGACGCUGAGGAGCGAAAGCAUGGGGAGCGAACAGG
rnacentral:rRNA from 1 species